rnacentral:rRNA from 1 species
UACGUAGGGUGCAAGCGUUAUCCGGAAUUAUUGGGCGUAAAGAGCUCGUAGGCGGUUUGUCGCGUCUGCUGUGAAAACUGGAGGCUCAAUCUCCAGCCUGCAGUGGGUACGGGCAAACUAGAGUGCGGUAGGGGAGAUUGGAAUUCCUGGUGUAGCGGUGGAAUGCGCAGAUAUCAGGAGGAACACCGAUGGCGAAGGCAGAUCUCUGGGCCGUAACUGACGCUGAGGAGCGAAAGCAUGGGGAGCGAACAGG